UACGUAGGGGGCAAGCGUUGUCCGGAUUUAUUGGGCGUAAAGAGCGUGUAGGCGGCCAUACAGGUCCGUUGUGAAAACUGGAGGCUUAACCUCCAGACGUCGAUGGAAACCGUAUGGCUAGAGUCCGGAAGAGGAGAGUGGAAUUCCUGGUGUAGCGGUGGAAUGCGCAGAUAUCAGGAAGAACACCAAUGGCGAAAGCAGCUUUCUGGGACGGUACUGACGCUGAGACGCGAAAGCGUGGGGAGCGAACAGG
rnacentral:rRNA from 1 species